rnacentral:rRNA from 1 species
GACGAACGCUGGCGGCGUGCUUAACACAUGCAAGUCGAACGGAAAGGCCCUGCUUUUGUGGGGUGCUCGAGUGGCGAACGGGUGAGUAACACGUGAGUAACCUGCCCUUGACUUUGGGAUAACUUCAGGAAACUGGGGCUAAUACCGGAUAGGAGCUCCUGCUGCAUGGUGGGGGUUGGAAAGUUUCGGCGGUUGGGGAUGGACUCGCGGCUUAUCAGCUUGUUGGUGGGGUAGUGGCUUACCAAGGCUUUGACGGGUAGCCGGCCUGAGAGGGUGACCGGCACGAGGGGGACGGGGGACCGGCGCAGAAGCGGAGAGGAGGAGGGGGUGGGAGAGAUAGAAGGGUGGGGGGACGACGGGGGCGGCAAGGGCGGGGGGGGGAUGUGGGGGUGGGGGUUGAAACCCGCUGUGGCGGGUGAGGAGGCGUGGGGGAGGGGAGGGGGGAAAGAAGCACCGGCAAACUACGGGCCAGCGGCCGCGUGAAUAAGCGGAAGGGCACACGUCGGAAC